rnacentral:tRNA from 1 species
GGGCGGUUAGCUCAGCGGUAGAGCACUCGCCUUACAAGCGAGGGGUCACUGGUUCGAACCCAGUACCGCCCACCG